AACGAACGCUGGCGGCAUGCCUAACACAUGCAAGUCGAACGAGACCUUCGGGUCUAUUGGCGCACGGGUGCGUAACGCGUGGGAACCUGCCCUUAGGUUCGGAAUAACUCCCCGAAAGGGGUGCUAAUACCGGAUAAUGUCUUCGGACCAAAGAUUUAUCGCCUUUGGAUGGGCCCGCGUUGGAUUAGCUAGUUGGUAGGGUAAAAGCCUACCAAGGCGACGAUCCAUAGCUGGUCUGAGAGGAUGAUCAGCCACACUGGGACUGAGACACGGCCCAGACUCCUACGGGAGGGAGCAGUGGGGAAUAUUGGACAAUGGGCGAAAGCCUGAUCCAGCAAUGCCGCGUGAGUAAUGAAGGCCUUAGGGUUGUAAAGCUCUUUUACCCGGGAUGAUAAUGACAGUACCGGGAGAAUAAGCUCCGGCUAACUACGUG
rnacentral:rRNA from 1 species